CUUGGACUUACGAGAACGGAGAUCAGCAACAGUUCUGAAAUAUGAAUAGACAUUGCCAAGCUGCUGGGAAAAUAAUGCCAAACCAGCAUUUUCUUUUCAUGGUGAAUUUCAUCUCCAGACCUUCAGGUGAAUUUAAUCCCAAAUCAAAUCCCUGCUCCCUGCAGCCAUCUGCACAGAAUUGAACCAGUAUAAAAGUUUUGUAGUAGCUGUAGUUUUUGGGGAGGUGUGAGUUUGGGUAUUUGUGGAGAACACUUGGAAAUUAAUUUCUUGUGGUGGAGCAUUCUGAGCAACAAUCACCCCUGGUUCAGCAAGCAGAGGUGUUGCCUGGAGACUUUACCUGCUCUUGUAGCUCCUGUGGAAGAGCUGUGUGGCUCAUGCUGGAGGGAAGAUGUGACUAGGACUAAACUUCUGAGAAGAUUCUCUUCAACAAGAGAAUGAUAAUGGGAGGUGUUUGAGGAUUAACAGGCUGCCCAAGCAUUCUUCAAUCAAUAAGUCUAAGAAGUAAUUGAAAAUGUUGGUUUCAUUGGAUACAGGUUUCACCUUCUGGUUAUGGUUUGAUUAGUAGAGCAGGAUUUCUCUGCUGCUUUGCCUGCACCACUCUCUUGCUCUACCUCUUGCUCAUUUCUCUUUUGGGCCAUUUACCAUUGUCUUAUCUCCCUUGUUAUUUUUUUUUUCUGUUUCUCUUCACAACAAAGUAAACAAAUCCUCAUUAGAAUCCUGUCUUCUGCUUCUUUGUGCCCAGAUUCAGACUGUCCCACAAAAUAUCACUUAAAUUGUUCUUGUCUAGAAAAAGACAAUUUUCUGAUACACAUAAAUACUUUCUUGCUUGCUAUAU